AGAAGACACAGACAAA
rnacentral:sRNA from 1 species